rnacentral:rRNA from 1 species
UACGUAGGGUGCAAGCGUUAAUCGGAAUUACUGGGCGUAAAGCGUGCGCAGGCGGUUGUGUAAGACAGAUGUGAAAUCCCCGGGCUCAACCUGGGAACUGCAUUUGUGACUGCACAGCUGAGUAGCGGCAGAGGGGGAUGGAAUUCCGCGUGUAGCAGUGAAAUGCGUAGAUAUGCGGAGGAACACCGAUGGCGAAGGCAAUCCCCUGGGCCUGUACUGACGCUCAUGCACGAAGCGUGGGGAGCAACAGG